rnacentral:rRNA from 1 species
UACGGAGGGUGCAAGCGUUAAUCGGAAUUACUGGGCGUAAAGCGCGCGUAGGCGGCUUGGUAAGUCGGAUGUGAAAGCCCUGGGCUCAACCUGGGAACUGCAUUCGAUACUGUCAAGCUAGAGUGUGGGAGAGGGUAGUGGAAUUCCCGGUGUAGCGGUGAAAUGCGUAGAUAUCGGGAGGAACAUCAGUGGCGAAGGCGACUGCCUGGCCCAACACUGACGCUGAGGUGCGAAAGCGUGGGUAGCAAACAGG